AACGAACGCUGGCGGCAGGCUUAACACAUGCAAGUCGAGCGCCCCGCAAGGGGAGCGGCAGACGGGUGAGUAACGCGUGGGAACGUACCCUUUGCUACGGAAUAGCUCCGGGAAACUGGAAUUAAUACCGUAUGUGCCCUACGGGGGAAAGAUUUAUCGGCAAAGGAUCGGCCCGCGUUGGAUUAGCUAGUUGGUGGGGUAAUGGCCUACCAAGGCGACGAUCCAUAGCUGGUCUGAGAGGAUGAUCAGCCACAUUGGGGCUGAGACACGGCCCAAACUCCUACGGGAGGCAGCAGUGGGGAAUAUUGGACAAUGGGCGCAAGCCUGAUCCAGCCAUGCCGCGUGAGUGAUGAAGGCCUUAGGGUUGUAAAGCUCUUUCACCGGAGUAGAUAAUGACGGUAUCCGGAGAAGAAGCCCCGGCUAACUUCGUGCCAGCCGCCGCAGUAAUAC
rnacentral:rRNA from 1 species